CUACGGGCCGCUGCAGUGAGGAAUAUUGGGCAAUGGAGGCAACUCUGACCCAGCCAUGCCGCGUGCAGGAAGACGGCCCUCUGGGUUGUAAACUGCUUUUGUUUGGGAAUAAACCCUUCUACGUGUAGAAGGCUGAAGGUACCUUACGAAUAAGGAUCGGCUAACUCCGUGCCAGCAGCCGCGGUAAUACGGAGGAUCCAAGCGUUAUCCGGAUUUAUUGGGUUUAAAGGGUCCGUAGGCGGAUCUUUAAGUCAGUGGUGAAAGCCCACAGCUCAACUGUGGAACUGCCAUUGAUACUGGAGAUCUUGAGUGUAGUAGAAGUAGGCGGAAUAGGGCAUGUAGCGGUGACAUGCAUAGAUAUGCCCUAGAACACCGAUUGCGAAGGCAGCUUACUAUGUUACAACUGACGCUGAGGGACGAAAGCGUGGGGAGCAAACAGGAUUAGAUACCCCCGUAGUC
rnacentral:rRNA from 1 species